GGUGGCUUAGUGGUAGAGUGCUUGCCUUGCAUGCAUGAAGCCCUGAGUUAGAUUCCUUAGCAGCACCA
rnacentral:tRNA from 1 species